CCUGAAAAUCAUACCCAACAAGCAUCGGUGAGGUGAGUCUAUAGAGUGAUUAUUCUCUAUAAAACAUCAUAUUCAAAUACUCACAAAUCUUAUUACAUGUACAAUCAUAGAGCAUGUCUCGCGGGUUAAAUAUUAUUAUGUGUAAAGCUUUCUAAUUACUCAUCAAUACUUGAAAGCAAACAGAAGCAGGAUUUCUAUCUCCAGUUCCCCACAAAGAAAAUCAAAAGAGUCGUUGAGAUGAUUGAGAUUUACAUGGAAUCAAAGAAAAAAACGCACUCAAAGAGGGCAACACAACAAUCAAAGAAGGUAAAGAACAAGAAUCACAUUUGAAACUCUUAUUCCUUUUCCGAAAGGUUCAACAUGGGGUGAAGAUUUAAGGACUUACAAAGAUUUGUCUACAAGACAUACAAGGAAGCAUGUUUAGAAGUAGACAAAUGAUAUGGUACUUCUUUAAAAAGAAAAUCUAAAAUCUUAUCUUAGUUUUCCAUUCUUUAAUUGUUUGUAUUUUCUUAAUUAUGUUAGAAAAUUAUCAAUCAAUAAACUUUUUUUGGUUAGUCUUCAUAAA